rnacentral:rRNA from 1 species
GACGAACCGUGCGAACGUUGUUCGGAAUCACUGGGCUUAAAGGGCGCGUAGGCGGGCGGUCAAGUCAGGGGUGAAAGCCCCCAGCUCAACUGGGGAAGUGCCUCUGAUACUGACCAUCUCGAGGGAGGUAGGGGCGUGCGGAACUUCCGGUGGAGCGGUGAAAUGCGUAGAUAUCAUUUGGAACGCCAAUGGUGAAAACAGGUUGCUGGGAGUAUGCUGACGCUGAGACACGAAAGCCAGGGGAGCGAACGGG